rnacentral:rRNA from 1 species
AUGGCCAUGGCGGCGGAACCGGACGAGCACGACUUUGUCAGCCUCCUCCCCGACGAGAUCCUGGGCACCAUCAUCUCCCUCCUACCCACGGACGACGGCGCGCGCACCACCGCCCUCUCCCGUCGCUGGCGCCACCUCUGGCGCUCCUCCCCGCUCAACCUCGACGACUGCGACAUCGUCAGGAAUAGGCGCUGGGAUUACCUCCUCUCCUGCCCCUCCGACCGGCGUGGCCUCAACCGCAACCGCCUCCGCAAGAACGAGCGCCAGCUUAUCGCCGUCAUCUCCAAGAUCCUAUCCAAGCACCGGGGCUCCAUCCGCCGCCUCUCCCUCCGCCACGACUACUUCUACAUCAGCGACAGCGACAUCCACGACACGCUCGGCGGCUGGCUCACGUACCCCGCCCUCAGCAACCUCGAGGAGAUCGAGAUCAUCAGCUACAGCAACAGAGGCCAAGAUCCGCUGCCGCUGCCCGUGAUCCGCUUCGCGGCGACCGUCCGGGCCGCCACCUUCGACUUCUGCCGCUUCCCCGAGGACGCGCCCCGUGCGCUCAUCUUUCGGCAACUGAAAAGGCUCGUCCUCCAUCACGUGACCAUCCCCAACGACGACCUCCAAGGCGUGCUCUCCGGCUGCCCUGCGCUCGAGAGCCUGCUGAUCGACGUUCUCCGUAGAUCUGGGCCAUCUGGCAUUGUCCGGGUGCUGAUCAACUCACCGUCUCUCAGGAUCAUCGAGAAUGGCUGCACGGUUGGAGUAGUCAUCGAGAACGCCCCUCGGCUGGAAAGACUCAUCACGUUUCGGGACUUCCGUAGUGGCAAUUACACUUACACCCCGAUGUUCGUCCGGUUACCCGACGCACAGAAAGUGGAGAUCUUGGACUCAUUCAGAAACUGCGAGGAAUUGGUUCUGGAAAGCUUCAGAACAACUAUGCGCAACGUGAGGAUUUUGGUUCUAAAGGCUUGUGAACCUCAUCUUGGUGCUGUCAUCGACUUGCUGAGAUGCUUCCCUUACCUGACGAAACUGUACAUCACAUCCUCUCUGGGGACGUGUUCGAAAAAUGAUGGACAUGGUUACAACCCGCAAGAUCCUAUCACGUGCCUUGAGCUCCAUCUCACAGAGGUGGUGUUCAAGCACUACGAGGGCAAGCAGCCGGAUGUGAAUUUUGCCAAGUUCUUGUGGCGAAUGCUAAACAUAGCAUCACAAAUGGUCGAGUACAUAAUUGUUUUAGAUAUCCAUGUUGGAGAGAGAUACCCCAUCAGCAAGGAUGUUGUCAUGGAAGAUAUAGAGCUAGUUUCAAUUGCCGCCUUCGGCAUACCCACCAUUGAUGAAGCGACCCGGUGCUGCUCCUGCCGUCAUAUGUGA